AUUGAACGCUGGCGGCAGGCCUAACACAUGCAAGUCGAGCGGUAGCACAGAGAGCUUGCUCUCGGGUGACGAGCGGCGGACGGGUGAGUAAUGUCUGGGAAACUGCCUGAUGGAGGGGGAUAACUACUGGAAACGGUAGCUAAUACCGCAUAAUGUCGCAAGACCAAAGUGGGGGACCUUCGGGCCUCAUGCCAUCAGAUGUGCCCAGAUGGGAUUAGCUAGUAGGUGGGGUAACGGCUCACCUAGGCGACGAUCCCUAGCUGGUCUGAGAGGAUGACCAGCCACACUGGAACUGAGACACGGUCCAGACUCCUACGGGAGGCAGCAGUGGGGAAUAUUGCACAAUGGGCGCAAGCCUGAUGCAGCCACGCCGCGUGUGUGAAGAAGGCCUUCGGGUUGUAAAGCACUUUCAGCGGGGAGGAAGGCGUUAAGGUUAAUAGCCUUGGCGAUUGACGUUACCCGCAGAAGAAGCACCGGCUAACUCCGUGCCAGCAGCCGCAGUAA
rnacentral:rRNA from 1 species